UAGCUCGAUUGAUUUACUUUGCUGUGAGAUUACAUAUGCAUA
rnacentral:rRNA from 2 species